rnacentral:rRNA from 1 species
UCUUUUAGCAGGGAAGAAGCGAAAGUGACGGUACCUGCAGAAAAAGCGCCGGCUAACUACGUGCCAGCAGCCGCGGUAAUACGUAGGGCGCAAGCGUUAUCCGGAAUUAUUGGGCGUAAAGAGCUCGUAGGCGGUUUGUCGCGUCUGCUGUGAAAUCCCGAGGCUCAACCUCGGGCCUGCAGUGGGUACGGGCAGACUAGAGUGCGGUAGGGGAGAUUGGAAUUCCUGGUGUAGCGGUGGAAUGCGCAGAUAUCAGGAGGAACACCGAUGGCG